UGCCGCACUAACGCAUUAAGUACCCCCCCUGGGAAGUACGCUCCCCAGGAGUGAAACUCAAAGGAAUUGACGGGGACCCCCCCCAAGGUAGCGGAGCAUGUGGUUUAAUUGGAAGCAACGCGAAGACCCUUACCUAAGCUUGACAUCCCACUGACCUCUCCCUAAAUCGGAGAUUUCCCUUCGGGGACAGUGGUGACAGGUGGUGCAUGGUUGUCGUCAGCUCGUGUCGUGAGAUGUUGGGUUAAGUCCCGCAACGAGCGCAACCCUUGCCUUUAGUUGCCAGCAUUAAGUUGGGCACUCUAGAGGGACUGCCGAGGAUAACUCGGAGGAAGGUGGGGAUGACGUCAAAUCAUCAUGCCCCUUAUGCUUAGGGCUACACACGUGCUACAAUGGGUGGUACAGAGGGUUGCCAAGCCGCGAGGUGGAGCUAAUCCCUUAAAGCCAUUCUCAGUUCGGAUUGUAGGCUGAAACUCGCCUACAUGAAGCUGGAGUUACUAGUAAUCGCAGAUCAGAAUGCUGCGGUGAAUGCGUUCCCGGGUCUUGUACACACCGCCCGUCACACCAUGGAAGUUGGGGGCGCCCGAAGCCGGUUAGCUAACCUUUUAGGAAGCGGCCUCGAAGGGAAACC
rnacentral:rRNA from 1 species